AAUGAUUGAUACUCAUCGCAAUCUGUAUUUCAAUCUCUCCAAUUUUGGAGUUUCACUAGAAAUAUGUAUUAGAUCUAAUCCCAUGGCUACAUCUCACUAUUAAUUUGCUCUAAUUUAAAAAAAAAAAAAAAAAGAGAAAGAAAACACAAUAUCUUCGAGUUUCGACAGCACCUUGAUCUGAUUGCUUGCUCAAAAAAGCAUGAUUUUGCAUAAUAAUGGAUCAUGCACCAUCAUAAUUAUAUCCCUUGCUAGAUCCAACGUCGACAAAUAGUUGAUCAAUUAGGCAGCUCCAAAUGUAGUCGAUCACCCCCACCGGCGAUUCGCCCACUGGCCGCAGCCCCCUUCCACCUUCUCCGAUGCCACCUCCAUUUCCCUCUCUCCCCCACGGCGAUCUGACCUCUCGGCGAUUCGACAAUAUGGCCGCGAUGAGAUCUGCCCCUUUCACUCCGAUGGCACCUCCAGUUGCCUCCCCCGGCGAUCUGCCCCUUCCACCUUCUCCGACGCUUCCCUCUUCCGGCGGCGACGCCAGUCACCUCCACCAUCUCCCUCGACUGACACGCGCAGAAACAACAGUCCGCCGCUUUCAUUGGGGUCGGCGAAAUCGUUGGCUCCUCCUUCUCUUUCAUGCAAUACAUGGACAGAGCUUUGGCAUUUUAGUGGUGCCAAGAUCUAUACUGGAAAUGGAUUUAUUCUGCAUUUAUGAAGCACUCUUCAUAUAGCACAAAUUAGUGAAGAUAAAAUGGAUCAAUAAAUGCAAAUGGAGAAGCAAAAGUGAUCUGUUAAUUUACUUUCUCUCGAAGGGUUCGUAAAUUUUUCUAUAAGUUGUUCUCAAAUGGUACGACGGAAUCAGAACAGAGACAUGUCACCCUAUGAAUUAAUGCCUCAGGCUUUCAGCUGCUUCAGAUUUUGGUUUGUAUUUACUAAAGGAUUACGGUGCAACUCGGUGGUAUCUUGAGCUAUGCUGUUCCUUUUACUCUAAAGUAAGCCUACUUUCUCUUUUAAGGUCUCAAUGCAUUAUUUGUCAUAAAACAGUGUUGCUACAUUACGUUAUUUUUUUUUAUUUUUUUUGAUGAUUUAGUGGGAUUUUGUUUCUAUUUUUAUUGUAUUUCUUAUACUUUUGAUGUGUCAUAAUCGUUAGGAAAUUGACUACAAAUGCAAUUACUUUUAUAUUGAUAAUUAGCUGGAAUCGGCUGACUACUUAAUUGCAGCCUUCGUUGGCGAGAAAUUGUUUCCUCUCGCCUUCAAUUACUUGCAGAAGCUUCUUCAGCUACAACUCAACCUUCGUUGGGUCCCCGAUCGCGUCCGCAAAGCUUGCCAUCUCUUUGGUGUGUGCAUUGUCCUCUUGGUUGGUUGUUGUUUUUGCUAAUGACCUGUGGCUCGAGUUUUAUAUGUUGUUUGUGCUUUGGAAUUAGCUGCAAACUUUUGAUUUUUUGUUGUUUUUUUAGUUUUCCCGAUGUGACCAGUAGUUAGUUGCGUUUUUUAAUUCAUUUUAAUGUGUGUUGUGGUGUUACGCAAGGUUAUGGAAAUCUAACGCUAUCAGGAAUUUGAAUUUGCAAUUACUAUAAGAUAAUACACAUUUUCGCCUGUGGAAA